rnacentral:rRNA from 1 species
GUGCCAGCAGCUGCGGUUAUACAAAAAAUACGAGUAAAUUUUAUUAGAUAAAGUAAAAUUGAUUUAUAUUUAAUAAUAAAAAAAUUUUUAGGUGAAAUUUUAAUUAUUUUAUUUUUAAAAUUAAAAAAUAAAUUGAAACUAAAAAAUUUUGUUAAUAAACUAGGAUUAGAUACCCUAUUAUUAAAAAAUGUAUUUUAGAAAGUUAGAGUAGUAAUAGUUAUGGUCUUGAAACUCAAAAAAUUUGGCGGUAUUUUAGUCUAUUCAGAGGAACCUGUGGUGUAAUCGAUAAUCCACGAUGAAUCUUACUUAAUUUUGUUUUUCAAUUUGUAUACCGCCGUUAUUUAAAAAUUUUUUGAAAAUAAUAAUUUUUAUAAUUUUUUAUAAAAGAAAAAGUCAGGUCAAGGUGCAGUUUAUAGUUAAGUAUUUCAUGGGUUACAAUAAGUUUAUUUAUAUGAAUUAAAUUAUGAAAUUAAUUUAUGAAAGUGGAUUUGGUAGUAAAUUUUUAAAGAUAAAAGAAUUGAUUUUAGCUCUAAAAUAUG